rnacentral:tRNA from 1 species
CGUGAUGUCUUAGAUAUUUAAUUCUUAGGCCAUGAUCCUGUCACCUUAGGUCGAUCGGUACCUCAGUUUGAUUUCAGAUUAGAAAUUAAAUUCAGUUCCUAAACUUUGUCUAGGUCACACCCAGCAAGGGUACUCCUGGGCUAUUAGCUCAGGUGGUUAGAGCGCACCCCUGAUAAGGGUGAGGUCCCUGGUUCAAGUCCAGGAUGGCCCAUUCCGAUGUUGGGGGUAUAGCUCAGUUGGUAGAGCGCCUGCUUUGCAAGCAGGAUGUCAGCGGUUCGAGUCCGCUUACCUCCACUGAUCGAAUUCCCGAUAUCGACUUGAAGGAGAUUAUCUUUGCUUGAUGAGACUUAGACUACUGUUUUUUUGAAUUAGAACCCAGCUUCUUGUUAUUCGCUUUUUAAAUUGCGAGGCUUGUUUAACAAGAUGCUGGGCUCAGCUGUAAUCAAAUGAUUGCAGAAAGUUCAGUAGAACCUUGACAACUGCAUAGGAUAAGUCUGGAAAGAAUAAAGCAUCUCAUGAUGCAUUGUUCUAAAUAAAUCUAGAAACUCUAGUUUUAUUUAAUGAAUAAUGUUUAAUUCUUGAGCAAGAGCCGAGACUCUAUAG